UACAGAGGUGGCAAGCGUUGUUCGGAUUUAUUGGGCGUAAAGGGUUCGUAGGCGGUUUGGAAAGUUGGAUGUGAAAGCCCACAGCUUAACUGUGGAAUUGCAUUCAAAACUCCCAGACUCGAGUGUGAAAGGGGUAAAGGGAAUUCCCGGUGUAAGGGUGAAAUCUGCAGAGAUCGGGAAGAACACCAGUCGCGAAGGCGCUUUACUGGUUCACAACUGACGCUGAGGAACGAAAGCUAGGGGAGCAAACGGG
rnacentral:rRNA from 1 species